CCUACCAUUGUGAUACAAAAAUCAAAAGGAUGACUGACAUCUGAAUUCCACUAAACGUAUAGUUCAGAUCUUUCUUCAUGCUUAGCAUUUGGUAUUUCCAAUAACUUGAACCAACCAAGAGCUGCUAGUAACAGUUGCAUAGACUUCCCUUUACUGAUUUUCAUAUACCCCAGAAUUAUACCACCCCAUGUUUAAAUGACGGAAAUCCAAAGAAUUCUUGUCUUUAUUCCCUAACAUUGCCUAUCUGCAGCAUACUACUGUCAGUUCUCUGUGUUUCCUACCUACCAUGCCCAAAUCAAAGCCAAAUGAAAUAUCUUCUUCAAACUUUUCUUACUCCCAAUUUUAGAAAUAAAAAAUAUAUUUCUGAGAGUUCAGUUUCUGUUAAUGAUGGAAUAGCUUGAUCAUCUAUAGGCAAUAAUGAUGAAAUGUGGACAAUUUGAAAGUCUUGGAGAGUAACCAAAAGCAAGCAGAAACUGAAUAAACCUAACUUGGAAAGACAAUGAAUGACAUUUGUUUAUGGGUUUUAUCUGAGCGCAUUCUCCAGUCUUAUCAAGGACCCAAACAGAAGGUGUCAGAGGAUGGAGUUCAAGGCCAACAGAACAAAUAGAAAAUUAGAGGGGAAAAUCCAGUUAAAAAAAAUUACUGUACAUGUGAAGAAAUAGGAAAAUGUGAUACUUCUUCAAGGGGAAAAAUAAAGUCAAUAUGA